rnacentral:rRNA from 1 species
GGCACGCUUCAUACAUGCAAGUCGAGGGGCAGCAUAAAGUACUUGUACUUUGAUGGCGACCGGCGAACGGGUGCGUAACGCGUAUGCAACUUACCUUUUACUAGAGAAUAGCCAAGAGAAAUUUUGAUUAAUGCUCUAUACUCUUUUUAACUCACAUGAGUUUUUAAGAAAAGCUCCGGCGGUAAAAGAUGGGCAUGCGUCCUAUUAGCUUGUAGGUGAGGUAACGGCUCACCUAAGCUCCGAUAGGUAGGGGUCCUGAGAGGGAGAUCCCCCACACUGGUACUGAGACACGGACCAGACUUCUACGGAAGGCAGCAGUAAGGAAUAUUGGACAAUGGAGGAAACUCUGAUCCAGCGAUGCCGCGUGAAGGAAGACGGCCCUAUGGGUUGUAAACUUCUUUUAUACAGGAAGAAACCUUUCCACGUGUGGAAAGCUGACGGUACUGUAAGAAUAAGGAUCGGCUAACUCCGUGCCAGCAGCCGCGGUAAUACGGAGGAUCCAAGCGUUAUCCGGAAUUAUUGGGUUUAAAGGGUCCGCAGGCUGUUUGUUGAGUCAGGGGUGAAAUCCUACCUCUCAACGGUAGAACUGCCUUUGAUACUGGCAAACUUGAGUUAUUGUGAAGUAGUUAGAAUGUGUAGUGUAGCGGUGAAAUGCAUAGAUAUUACACAGAAUACCAAUUGCGAAGGCAGAUUACUAACAAUUAACUGACACUGAGGGACGAAAGCGUGGGUAGCGAACAGGAUUAGAUACCCUGGUAGUCCACGCCGUAAACGAUGGUCACUAGCUGUUCGAUGUACAUUGGUACAUUGAGUGGCUAAGCGAAAGUGAUAAGUGACCCACCUGGGGAGUACGCUCGCAAGAGUGAAACUCAAAGGAAUUGACGGGGGCCCGCACAAGCGGAGGAACAUGUGGUUUAAUUCGAUGAUACGCGAGGAACCUUACCGAGGCUUAAAUGUAGAUUGACAGAUUGUGAGAACAGUUUUUCUUCGGACAAUUUACAAGGUGCUGCAUAGUUGUCGUCAGCUCGUGCCGUGAGGUGUCGGGUUAAGUCCCAUAACGAGCGCAACCCCUAUUUUUAGUUACCAGCGAGUAAUGUCGGGAACUCUAGAAAGACUGCCUGUGUAAACAGUGAGGAAGGUGGGGAUGACGUCAAAUCAUCACGGCCCUUAUGUCUUGGGCUACACACGUGUUACAAUGGUUACUACAGUGGGCUGCCAUCUGGUAACAGAGAGCAAAUCCAUAAAGGUAAUCCCAGUUCGGAUCGGAGUCUGCAACUCGACUCUGUGAAGUUGGAUUCGCUAGUAAUCGUAUAUCAGCAAUGAUACGGUGAAUACGUUCCCGGGCCUUGCACACACCGCCCGUC